GGCACGGUGGCUUAGUGGUUAGUACCUUUGCCUCGCACCUCCAAAGUUGGAGGUUCAAUUCCUGCCUCUGCCC